rnacentral:lncRNA from 1 species
CUUUCUCUUUUUAGAGGAAUUCUGGAGUUGGGAAUAUGUCCAUCUGGGUUAGCAGUUGUGUGGCAUUCUACAAACUAUCUGUUGUUCAGAUCAUUUUUCUUUCUACCACCAGCUUUACAUUCCCACAGGCUCCUUUCUACAUGCCCUGUCUGAUAGUUUCAGAUGGAGCCAGAAACGUCAAAUCAAACUUACCUCUCGUGGGCUUUCACCUCGCGCUGCAGAACAGAUCCUGAUCAGCCAGCCUCGCCCUGCAAGGGCUGCAGACACAGCUGUGUGCCUCAGACCUGCUGUGACAAACAUGGCAAGCAGCACCACAGCUCAGCCUGCCUGUCCACUGCUCCUUCAUUCCAACACGCACAGAACAAGAGUAAAGCUACAAAUCUCAAUGCAGAGAAACGUUGGAUCAAAGAAGAGUCAAUUACAGACAUGCAUUGUUAUUGAGCAAAAACAAAUCUUAAUAAGGUUUGUACCCUAUUUAAUCACUAUGUCAUAGUAAUAGAGAAACUAUUUAUUAAAAUGUUACCUUAGUUUAAUUACUAAGUUUAAUUACAACUGCAUACAGUUGUUGCUUCUCUAAGACAAUUAUGCCACAUAAGACUAAAAAGAAAUAAUUCAGAUAGUUUCACUUGAAAGAAAUCCAUUAGGAUCUUGUUUGGGAAUACUUUGAUCCUG